rnacentral:rRNA from 1 species
UUCUUCCUCCGGUACCGUCAAGGCGAGGUUGCCCCGCCCUUCUUCCCGCAGAAAAGGGGUUUACACCCGAAGGGCGUCAUCCCCCACGCGGCGUUGCUCCGUCAGGGUUGCCCCCAUUGCGGAAGAUUCCUUG